UACGAAGGGUGCUAGCGUUGUUCGGAAUCACUGGGCGUAAAGCGCGCGUAGGCGGCUUAACAAGUCAGAGGUGAAAGCCUGGAGCUCAACUCCAGAAUUGCCUUUGAAACUGUUAAGCUAGAGUGUCGGAGGGGAUAGCGGAAUUGCUAAUGUAGAGGUGAAAUUCGUAGAUAUUAGCAGGAACACCGGUGGCGAAGGCGGCUAUCUGGACGACAACUGACGCUGAGGCGCGAAAGCGUGGGGAUCAAACAGG
rnacentral:rRNA from 1 species